GUGCUUGCUUUGGCAGCACAUAUUCUAAAACUGAAACAAAACAGAGAAGAAGAUUAGCAUGGCCCUACAUAAGGAUGUUAAGCAAAUUCAAGAACCAUGUUUUA